CUCCCAAAAGGGCCAAGGGACAGGAGCAGGGGCUGCCAUGCCUUGGCUCCCUGAUGACUGGCCAGGACCCUCCCAGGGCUCUGCCCCCAGUGAUCCCACACAACCCCAGCCCUGGGAAGGGCUGCUGCCAUUGGAGAGGAAGCAUUAUUUAGCUGGAGCAUAGACUGGAGCUCUGUACAGCAGGACCUUUUUUUCAAAAGGCACUACAAAGGGAAGAUGGCAGUCAGAGCACCUGGAAGAGGCCAGGCUUCUGCUUGCCACAUGGCAUGUAAGCUGUGGAUGCUGGUAGUCAGCACUGCCCUGCCCUGCUGCUCCUGAGGAUCUUGGGUACUAAUGCCAGGCAUGAUGGGACUCUGCUAAGCAUGCACAGCAUGCACAGGCAAGCAAAUUAAAGUCAUAGCCAGAGCCUACUGUCAAAAGUUGCUAAAAAAACCAAAAAAAAACACACAAAAAAAACCAAAAACCAAAAAAACCACCAAAAAACAAGAAAGGAAGGGAGAAAAAAAGUACAUUUUUACCCUCAUGGCAACUGUCAGACACUAUCUCAAGUGGAAAAAUAUCACACUGAUAGCAUACUUUGGUUUUACCACAAGAUAAACUUGGUAAUGUCAGCCUCAGGCUCAGCUAACUCAGACUGACCUGACCUAGAUUAUUUUAAAAAAAAAAAAAAAAAAGCCCCACCUGAUUUUUCUGUGGUUUUCUGCUUGUUAAACACAUUACACUGAAAUAAAAAAUACUAAAGUGCAC
rnacentral:lncRNA from 1 species